rnacentral:rRNA from 1 species
UACGUAGGGAGCAAGCGUUGUCCGGAAUCAUUGGGCGUAAAGCGCGCGUAGGUGGCCUCAUAAGUCCGCUGUGAAAGUCAAAGGCUCAACCUUUGAAAGCCGGUGGAUACUGUGGGGCUAGAGUACGGAAGAGGCGAGUGGAAUUCCUGGUGUAGCGGUGAAAUGCGCAGAUAUCAGGAGGAACACCGAUUGCGAAGGCAGCUCGCUGGAACGUUACUGACGCUGAGACGCGAAAGCGUGGGGAGCAAACAGG